UCCUACGUCAGCCUUCCCUUAACAGCUCCACGUAGGACAUUUACAGACGUGGAGGCGAGAGAUAGCGAAGAAAGGUCCGAGCCUUCCCUUCCGCAAGGGAAUUUCUCUUAUCAAGAACGGGAAGGCAAAUCUUGGCGUUGUAUGACUUGCUUUCCCUUAUCAACGCGUUUGCCAAAUCCAAUGCUCCGAAGCGCGGAAUUACUUUGCUCGUCGCGCCAAAUUAUUCCUUCUUCCCGGGCUGAAUCGUCCUCUCUGAUAGCAUAUAUCCACGUUCAAUCAGAGGAACCACAAAUCCUACCGCUGCCGCCGCAAAUCCAUCCCAGCCGCCCUGCUCCGGCCAUGUCUCGCCGGCCGGCGCGGAAUGGAUCUUCUGCAACUCUAGGCACGCAGACAAGCUUCUCCAUCCCCAAUUCCCGUGUAUGUCCCGCAUCGCCAGACUAUGCCGGAUUUGGCACCAGCGCCUGGCACGUUUGGUGGGACGGGUCUGCUGCUAGUAGCCCUAAUCUUUCUUCUCCAUCAGAUUGGGUAAAUGAUGUUCACCCACCUAGAGGUCAUGUCUAAAACACUGCGGUGCUAGAAGUAUAAAAACGCAUUUCACAUGAUAAGGUUGAGGCAUCACGGCUCACCCUGGAGGCAGCAACGGAGAACAAGGAGGCCAAGACAAAUAUUGAGCCUACAUUUUACCUAAAUCCACGACAACUAUUUAGGACCAAAUGAAAUAAUAUAUACAACCUCUUGUUGCUAAAGAUCAUUUGUAUUUCGUAGAUGUACUAAACGUAGUAUUUUCAAUUAUCAUUUAACACAACAUCAUCUACAUGGAUACUAGUUACGGUUGAUUCCUACAUUUUUGCAAGCAUUUAGUGUGCUAGAGAAGACCUCUACCUUCCAGUAAUCAGCUAGGAACAUCAGUACCAGCCCGCAGGUUUGUAAUUGCCUAUUUUAAUCAACUCCCUGUCUUAUUUCAGUCUUUACAGAUGGUUGGAAACUAA